AAAAAAAAAAAAAAAAAAAAAAAAAAAGGAUUCCUUUCAAAAUAUACUAUUCAUUGACAAAGCACCUAGUCACCCGAGCUGUCAUGGAGAUAUAAAAGCACAGUAAUGUUGUUUUCAUGCUUGUUAACAUCCAUUCUGCAGCUCAUGGAUCAAGUAGUAAAUUUGGCUUUCAAGUCUUGUUAUUUAAGAAAUAUAUUUCAUAAGACUAUAGCUGCAUAUGUAGUGUUUCCUCUGAUGGAGCUGGGCAGAGUAAUUUGACAACCUUUUAAAAAGAAUUUGCCAUUCUAGAUGUCAUUAAGAACAUUCAUGAUUCAUGAAAGAAGGUCAAAACAUUAACAUUAACCUGAGUUUGGAAGAAGUGGAUUCCAAUCCUCAUGAAUGACUUUGAGGGGUUCAGAACUUCAAUCCAGAAUGUAACUGUAGAUGUGGUAAAAAUAGCAGGAGAACUAGAAUGAGAACUGGAGCCUGAAGAUGUGACUAAAUUGCUGCAAUCUCGUGAUAAAACUUUAACAAUGAGAAGUUGCUUCUUACAGAUGUGCAAAGAAAGUGGGUUCUUGAGAAGGA